rnacentral:sRNA from 1 species
GAUGAUGACAUAGGCGAAGCCAGUGGUUCUUCUUUCAUAUCCAUAACACCUGUGCACUGUUGGAUGCUUGCAUCCACUUUUAAACUAAACAUUAUUGUAACAAAUGUAGUCUUAUUAUAACAUAAUAAAACUUUCAACAACGGAUCUCUUGGCUCUCGCAUCGAUGAAGAACGCAGCGAAAUGCGAUAAGUAAUGUGAAUUGCAGAAUUCAGUGAAUCAUCGAAUCUUUGAACGCACCUUGCGCUCCUUGGUAUUCCGAGGAGCAUGCCUGUUUGAGUGUCAUGAAACCCUCAAACCCAAGUUUUGGAUUUCGAUCCAUGCUUGAGUUUGGAUUUGGAUGUUUGCCGGUGAUGAACCGACUCAUCUUAAAAGUAUUAGCUUGGAUCUGUCUAUAUGACUGGUUUGACUUGGCAUAAUAAGUAUUUUGCUGAGGACAUCUUCGGAUGGCCAGGACCUAGACUACUGUCUGCUAACUAAACCAUCACUUUAAGUGCAUCUUUGGAUGUUACUCAUUGUGUAACUUUGACAU